rnacentral:tRNA from 1 species
CUAAUGUGGCAGAUUUAAGUGUAAUAGAUUUAAAUUCUAUAAAUAAAAUUAUUUUUCUUUAGAA